UUGGGAGCGGCAGGAUAGCUCGUGUGAACCACCAGCUUCAGCUUAGAGAAAGCAGUCACCAAGCUGACUGAGUCUGAGUCUGUCUCAAGCCAGAAUCUGCCUUUGUCCCCCUCCCCUUUCUGUGGGGCAGUACAGUAAAGAGGAGAAAUGUGGAAGUUUGGUUCUUCCUGCAGCACCCAGCCUGCCUGCAGGGGGUUCUCUUUGUCACUUCCUUCACCAGCAGGUAUUUUCAUUAGCAGGUAUUUUCAUUCCUAGGAGGUGCUCUGGCCCAUGUACCAUCCUCCCAGAGGUGGGUGCAAACGUGGCUGAUGAGACACAAAGAUAGCUUUGUAUUGUCGUAACUGAAACAUUUGACGUUUAUUCUUUUCAAGGCCUCAUCUCCACGACGCCCCUCAGACCCAGAGAACAACAACGUCAGCAAUGAGUGCCCAUCACAGGGCAGCAAGCAGUCAGUGGGGUGCCCGGCCAUCUUGUACCAUGGCUCAGAAGAGGAACUGAUGGCCAGCAUCGAGCGGGAGUAUGGCUGCUGAAACCACACAUGGGGCAUGGCUGGAGCAGCAGAGCUGCCAGCAGAACGCAAUGCCUGGGAUGGUGAGGAGGAGUGCAAGCAGAAAGACCAGAAAAAGCACACCUUGUGAAUCAGUAUCUCAAAGCUCCUCUUGAAAUGGCCUUUUUACCAGAUUUACUAGCUUUUUGAGAUGUGGUGCUUUAGGGAAGAAGACCUUUGCUUUGUCCUGGCAGUAAUAAAGUGCAGCAAAAUCAUUCGAUAUAGAUCUGAGUUUGGGAGUGCGCUGUGAAAUGCAGCAAGCUCUGAUGCAUUACUGCACCCUGGCAGAAAAAUCACUGUGUUAUAUCCUUAGCUGAUCCAAAGUAAAACAGAAAGGCUGUGGAUCUCUGAAGAAAAUAAUGUUUUCUGUGCUCCCCAAUAGGGAAGCCUUGUGUUGUGGGGUUUCUGCCUUUGUUUUAUCUGCAUCUUAAUGUAUCAUGAGUAGCUGCUUCUUAACAGAAGUAGAAAAAUACCUAAUUUCUAUCUUUAGCUGAAGUAUUCAAGAUAUCAGAUGAAAUACAGAGUGUGAAUGCAAGAGGAAACAGCAGGACACAUCUUAAGAUGCUGUAUUAUGAUGUCUUCAUCAUUGCAGGUAUUUGUGAAAGAGAAAUAUAUGCAUCUGUAUUCUAUGUACCUUUCAAUAAAAGCAACAGUGGUUUUGAA